AUAAAUUUGGCAGAAAAAUGCAUUAGAAUUAGAAUCUAAAAAUCUAAAAAUUCUAUU
rnacentral:tRNA from 1 species